CUACGGGUCGCUCCAGUGAGGAAUAUUGCACAAUGGGGGGAACCCUGAUGCAGCAACGCCGCGUGGAGGAUGGCGCAUUUCGGUGUGUAAACUCCUUUUAUAUGUCAAGAAAAUGACGGUAGCAUAUGAAUAAGCACCGGCUAACUCCGUGCCAGCAGCCGCGGUAAUACGGAGGGUGCAAGCGUUACUCGGAAUCACUGGGCGUAAAGGACGCGUAGGCGGGUUGGAAAGUCAGGUGUGAAAUCCUACAGCUUAACUGUAGAACUGCACUUGAAACUUCUAAUCUAGAGUAUGGGAGGGGGAGAUGGAAUUAGUGGUGUAGGGGUAAAAUCCGUAGAUAUCAAUAGGAAUACCUAAAGCGAAGGCGAUCUCCUGGAACAUUACUGACGCUAAGGCGUGAAAGCGUGGGGAGCAAACAGGAUUAGAUACCCGAGUAGUC
rnacentral:rRNA from 1 species